CCGUGAACGAGUUUAGAGAGGCAAGGGGAAUCGUCGGUGGAAUGUUCACUCCCGCUGCUGACAUAACUGAGUUGGGCGCCAACGAGUCGAGCUUUGGCCUUAUCGUCGAGAGGAUCAGUGACUCGCUUGGCUCUCACAAAAACUGACAUUUUCCGAGUAAGAUCCAGAGAUUUUUUUUUUUUUUUAAGAAGUGUUUGUGUCCUAUUUCUAUGCGGUUUCCUUCCCCUUUGAUUAAAGCUUGACGAGGGAAAGAAAUCC
rnacentral:misc_RNA from 1 species